GGGAGCUUAGCUCAGCUGGUUCAGAGCACCUGGUUUACACCCAGGGGGUCACAGGUUCGAAUCCUGUAGCUCCCA
rnacentral:tRNA from 1 species